UGUUACAAAAAAAGUGAGUAUCUUUACCACAUGAGUUGUCAAUUUUGGUCUCAAAACUUGCUUUUGUUCUUCCUACUUCAAAAGUUUGAAAUGAGGUAUCAUAGGAUGUGAAAUAGUGCUUAUGAUAUUGUUUGAUAUUGGGUUUUUUUUCCUUUUCCUUUUUUUCCCCCCUUCCAAUUUUUCUACCUAAUUUAGUGAAAUUUGCUCAGAUAUGCUAUUUUAUAUGUGGGAAGAUGGUAUGCCAAGCAGUAGGAAUAUUAUAUAGUGAUAUAUAGAAACACGUACACCCGUCUACCAAACUCUCUCAAACCAUUUUGCAGAUAGGAAACUGUUUCUCUUUUCUUUUUUGGAUUACUGUAUGCUGUUGCAAUUGAUGUGUGAUAUCUGGUGUUGGAAUGUACCAUUUGAAGGUUGUUUAUUCAUUUACUCUUCAGUGGAAGGGCUAUAUUAAAACUGCAAACUAAUGGAUGCCCUGUAGACUUGCGUCUCUAAGUACUUACUCUCAUUGUAUGCCUUGAUUUUGAAAGUCACAUUUGCAGAAUUUUCUACUUUUUCUUCCUCAUUGGUUGUGCUUUUUGAUUGUUAAAGGGUCAUGUUCUGUUUCUUUAAUGUAUGUUUUUUGGUUUGGCGGCUAUGAUCUAAACACAACGUCGGGAGUUAUCCUUCAUCUUGAACUCUUGCUAUUUUUUUUUUUUGGCAACGAGGACCGGGAUUAUUGUGGUAACCCGUGAUUGAAAAGCUAGAGAAAAAUAAGAUAAGUGAAGGAGAAGGAGACUGUUAAAGUUUAGAGCUAAGAGUUUUGAUGGGAAUGGGAUUCAGAUUCCUGUGCUCUUACAGAAAUUAGUCCAAUUAUAGACCUAUAAUAACUCAGCCAGCGCUUCAGGUAUUUAUGCAAGUAAUUAUGGACCACAUUCAUUUUUGUUUGAGGCAAAUGUACUAUAUUUGGACACUGUUUUAUGUGAAUGUGACACCAAGCAAGUGAAUCCAAAAAAAGGGCAUUGAAUAUGAUCGAUUUUAGUAUUCUAUCUAUUCAUAUUAAUCGUUAAAUAUAUUUAUGAUCUCUCCCUGAUUGAAUUUGUUAUGGCAUUGUCUUCCUUCCCUGAUGUGCCCAUUGUCAUUUCUGGGUUUCAAAUAUUCUUUUCUUAAAUAUUCUGUUCGUUUGUUUUUAUUCAGACGUAUUUGAUGCUCUUUAUUUAUUUAUUUUUUUAAAAAAUUUUCCUUCUUUUGUUUCAAACAACCAAGAGUGAGUGGAAUCAUGUUCAGUUUGAAUGAAAACUUGAUUCGAGGAGUAAUCAGCCAUUGACUCUCCCUUUUGUGUUGCAUAUUCCUGAUCAUUGGUUCCAGAUCACUUUUUCCUUCGGUUUGCUCAGUUGUUCUUCUUCUACUUAAAAGGGAUAGUGGGCCGAGAAGUGACCGUGGAGCUCAAGAACGACCUUGCGAUUAGGGAUUAUUAUGGGCCAGGUUCCUUCAUCACGCUCUCACACACCUGAUGACGACCAGGGACCUAACCGUAUUCAUGUAAAAGAGGCAGAAAGGCAGAGUAGAAAUAAUCCCCUGGGAGAGACGAGACAAUCAAUGAGUUCUUCACAAUCUGUUUUAUCACACUCUUCCCGACCCAACGAAGACCGGGGACACGCUCAGCUUCAUGCAUUGGAGGCUGAAAGGCAGCGUAGAAAUAAUCGUCAAAGAGAGAGACGACGAUUAUUGAGUUCUUCGCAACAAGAGGAAAGUUUAGCCCGAAGACGUGCCAAUUAUCAAAGACAACAGCAAAUAGAGGCCACAAGUGUAUCAAAUCAAGUGGAAGCAAUGGCCGGUAACUUACUGAGUGCAUGUUCUGAAACACAAACAUCUUCAACGUAUUGUAUACGUGUUUUGCACAAUUUUCUUUCUACUUUCAUGAACAAAAAUAUUAUUCUAUAUAUGUAGGUUGGAAAAAUUAACAGUUUUGAUAGAAAUAUUGUUUUUUUUUUUCAAGAAGAAUUUUUUUUUUUUUGUAAUACUUUAAAGAAGAAUUUUAGGAAC